UGUGUAGGCGGCUCCCUAAGUUUGGUGUGAAAUCUCCCGGCUCAACCGGGAGGGUGCGCCGAAAACUGGGGGGCUAGAGUGCGGGAUGGGAGAGUGGAAUUCCUGGUGUAGCGGUGAAAUGCGUAGAUAUCAGGAGGAACACCGGUGGUGCAGACGGCUCUCUGGACCGUAACUGACGCUGAGACACGAAAGCGUGGGUAGCAAACAGGAUUAGAUACCCUGGUAGUCCACGCCCUAAACGAUGCAUAUUUGGUGUAGGUCAUUCAGUUGAUCUGUGCCGGAGCUAACGCGUUAAAUAUGCCGCCUGGGGAGUACAGUCGCAAGGCUGA
rnacentral:rRNA from 1 species